AUUUCUUUGGCUUGCAAAUACGCAUACAAGAACACUAGCCCAGGAAGAUACUUGAAGAUGAAUAUUUUCUUUCGCGACUGCAAAUCCGGGAGAAGAGGUUAGCUAAAGGUGGAAUUCUCUUAGCUGCUACACUUAAUUUCGUAGUGGAGAAUCACAAACAGAAGACAAACAUCUCUAGUUUAGAAAGAGUAUGAUAACUUCCAUCAGGAAAAUAGGUAAAAUAGUUAAAUAUUUAUAUAUUCGGGUGAAUUUGCAUGCUUAGCUUCAUUGUACCUUUAUUUUGGGGAUUAAGGUUCUGUUUUUUAAUUUUUGGCAAAUUCUUCAUAUUACACUCUUA